GUGGAUAUAGCUCAACGGUAGAGCAACCCAGCAUGCAUUCGGGGAGACUGCGGGUUCGAUUCCCCCUGUCCGCA
rnacentral:tRNA from 1 species